GUUGUACUUAAAUUCAAAAUUGCACUUUUUUUUUUCUGCCCAGAUAACCAUGAUGAUUACAGAGACUUCUUCUGUGACUCUUGCUCCUUUUGAAGAUAUAUUGAGUCGGAUGCUCUUUGGUUGGCAGCACCAUUUUUCAUUGUGUGAAAAGAAAUGUGGAGCAAAAUCGUCUUCCAAUGGCACUGGUUCAUCAGUCUCAAAACCUAUAACCGAUGGUUCAGAUAAUGUUAAAAGGAAACAUUCUAAGAAGACUGAGUAAAUUUACUUGAGCUCUAGAAGGCAAAAAAAAAUUCUUUUCUACCUAUCAGAUUGUGAUAAAUAUUUCUAUGUAGAUGAUGUGAAAUAAAGAUUAUAUAUAAGGAAUGGAGGUGACAAAAAGAAAGAAAUUCUUUCUGUUUUAGGGUGACUACCACUUUCUUGAUUGUAAUUCUUGAGUGUCAUGAGUAUAUCAUGUGAAUUUUUUUCUGAUAUAAAGUAUCUUGUGAUUAUUUGAAUAGUUUACAUUGAUAAAAGAAAUUAAAAAAAUUUGAAACUUUUAAAAAAUUGGGUAAUUUCAUGCAUUUAAAAAAAUCUGAAUCUAUUUGAGCUUUAGUUCAGAAUUAAACUUUUAAAAGUAAAUAAAAGUUUAAUUCCUAGGUAUGGAAAAUUAAUUGAUUAAAAAAUUAAAAUUCUAAUUUAAUUUUGAGCAUUGAGGACGUUAACUUUUCCUAAAAUACUUUCUAUUAUAUAUGGAUAUAAAUUGCUAGUUUAUAUUUGCUAUAUAAACAUUGUAAUUUUGCCCUCGUUAAAAUAGAAAAUACCUGAAAUUUAUCUUAAUUUUAUCUCUAAUAGUACUUUUCAGUAAGAACACAAUAUUGUUGUAUGAAUUUCAGUUUGAAGUCUGCUUCAUGCCCUUGUUUAAAAAACUGUUUUUUUCCUCCUCACAAGAAAAUUAGGGGUACAAUUUUUGAUAAAUUACUUUUCAGUUUUCCAAGAUUACAAAACAUGGAAUUUUCUUUUUUUUUCCUUCCCUCUUUCUCUCUCCUUAAAACACAUUUAUUUCAACUGUAGAGAAAAUUUUCACAUUUCACAUGUUCUCCCUGACUUUGGUUGUUCUGAAUACAUUGGUAGCAGUUGUCUUAAUGAUUCAACACAAAGUAUUAUCUCCAUUAAAUUUGUUUCUUCCAUAUCUCCUUUCUAGUGGCUACUUUCUCAGUUUUUUGUUUGAAUGUUUCAUGUUAGAUUAAAUAUGGUUAUAUUUAGUUUUAAUCUAUGUGUACAUGCAUUAUUUAUUUUGUUUUAAAUGAAAACCAAUUACCUUCAUGUGAAAAUGCUCAGCUCUGAAGAGAAUUGUCUGUACACAUUUGAUAGUAAUCAGCUAGGAAACAGAUCAACCGAAAUCUCAUGGUUGUCUUAUUUGAUUGAAGAAUGAUGACAUUAAAUCUGGUUUCUUAUUGGCAAAAUAAACCAGAAAAGUACUAAAUGAUAUUAGAGUUUCUUUAUUUUAUGAUUUAAAAGUACAGUUCUAACAUUCAAACUCUGUGACAUGAUUUCUUAUACCAAGACCAUGAACAUACUACCUGUAUCAGGUAGAACUUUUAGAUGGCUUAGAAGUACUCAAAUCAUUCAAGUUGAAAGUUCUUUUUAACAACUGUGAACACCAGCGGGUACCAUAUAGCUUAUGAAAAAUGAUUUUCUUUUUGGCACAUGGAGCACUUUUGAUACUCUUAGAAUGCUAAGAAUGCUAAGAAACUUGUUUUUAAUAUUAUAAUAGCCUUAAAAUGAAUUCUGUGU
rnacentral:lncRNA from 1 species